UAUCCCAUAACCUUGGGAUGAGGAUUGGCUCUGAGGACUGAGCGGGUCGGGCUGGGGACCUGAAGCAGGAAUGGCACUGCACCAGGACUGGGCAGGGCUCGCCGUUCACACGGCGCGGACAAGCCCGGACCACCGUCGGAACCUUCCUGUGGAAAGCUGCAGCUGCGCGGCGUCUGAGGGCUUCGUGCCCAAAGUGCUAUGCUUCGGCCGGCAAAAACAGUCCACUCAGAACUGGCACGGACCGGAGACAUCCGAAUGUCUAAUUAAAACAAAGCAUUGUGAUGGACACUGGUCGGUGUUGACGCAAUGUGAUUUCUGCCCAGUGCUCUGAAUGUCAACGUGAAGAGAUUCAUCAAAGCGCGGGUAAACGGCAGGAGUAACUAUGACUCUCUUGUCAUAGCUUUUCGGGACAGAAGAUCGGUCGGGUUGUACCCCACUGACGAGUGCCAACUCCACGUCCCCGUCUGUAACAAGUAUGUAGCGCCCCCCUCCAGUCCGCCCGUCUGCGGCCGCCUGGCUCGGCGGGCAACAUUGAUCACCGCAUCAAUAAACACCGUUGAGCGCACGCGCUCCGGCCAGACAUCGUCCACCCUCAACCAGGCUGCGUGUCGUCUCUCCUCGGCGGGUGCUUCGGCCCCUUCGUCCACGUUCUAGAAAGAUCGUGACACUGGCGACGAGGAACCGUGGCACUGGAGGCCACCAACGUGCACGGUUCGGCCCACGCCGCCGAGAGAGUCGCAACACUGCCCUCCGCUCCUGUCGCCAUGCCGCUGUACGGGAGGCUCGAGCCGUUCGAGGGAGAUGGGUCCGCCUGGCCGGUCUACGAAGAACAAGUCCACGUGUUCUUCCGGGCGAACGACACGCCGGAGGAGAAACAACGGGACAUCUUC
rnacentral:ncRNA from 1 species